ACAUGCCUAUAACAUAGCAUUAAUGCAUCGCAUCCCAUUAAAACUCCACAGUUAAGUGCGCUCGAGAUAGAGUAGUACUGAGAUGGGUGAUCCCCUGAGAAGUCAUAAUGUUUUACAUGCC
rnacentral:rRNA from 1 species